rnacentral:rRNA from 1 species
GUAAUACUGUAUAAUCCCUGCGGGGGAAAGAUUUAUCGCUAUUAGAUGAGCCUAUGUUAGAUUAGCUAGUUGGUAGGGUAAAGGCCUACCAAGGCAGUGAUCUAUAGCUGGUCUGAGAGGAUGAUCAGCCACACUGGAACUGAGAUACGGUCCAGACUCCUACGGGAGGCAGCAGUGGGGAAUAUUGGACAAUGGGCGCAAGCCUGAUCCAGCUAUGCCGCGUGAGUGAGGAAGGCCUUAGGGUUGUAAAACUCUUUCAGUAGGGAAGAUAAUGACGGUAC